UUCGUAGGGUGCAAGCGUUAAUCGGAAUUACUGGGCGUAAAGCGUGCGCAGGCGGUUUGGUAAGUCUGUCGUGAAAUCCCCGGGCUCAACCUGGGAAUGGCGAUGGAGACUGCAAGGCUGGAAUCUGGCAGAGGGGGGUAGAAUUCCACGUGUAGCAGUGAAAUGCGUAGAUAUGUGGAGGAACACCGAUGGCGAAGGCAGCCCCCUGGGCUAAGAUUGACGCUCAUGCGCGAAAGCGUGGGGAGCAAACAGG
rnacentral:rRNA from 1 species